UAGAGACCGGCGCACGGGUGCGUAACGCGUAUGCAAUCUACCUUUCACAGAGGGAUAGCCCAGAGAAAUUUGGAUUAAUACCUCAUAGUAUAACGACUCGGCAUCGAGAUGUUAUUAAAGUCACAACGGUGAAAGAUGAGCAUGCGUCCCAUUAGCUUGUUGGUAAGGUAACGGCUUACCAAGGCUACGAUGGGUAGGGGUCCUGAGAGGGAGAUCCCCCACACUGGUACUGAGACACGGACCAGACUCCUACGGGAGGCAGCAGUGAGGAAUAUUGGUCAAUGGACGCAAGUCUGAACCAGCCAUGCCGCGUGCAGGAUGACGGUCCUAUGGAUUGUAAACUGCUUUUGUACAGGAAGAAACAGUUCUACGUGUAGAACCUUGACGGUACUGUAAGAAUAAGGAUCGGCUAACUCCGUGCCAGCAGCCGCGGUAAUACGGAGGAUCCAAGCGUUAUCCGGAAUCAUUGGGUUUAAAGGGUCCGUAGGCGGUUUAGUAAGUCAGUGGUGAAAGCCCAUCGCUCAACGGUGGAACGGCCAUUGAUACUGCUAAACCUUGAAUUAUCACGAAGU
rnacentral:rRNA from 1 species